CGUAGGUGCGAGCGUUGUCCGGAAUUAUUGGGCGUAAGGGCUCGUAGGCGGUUGUCGCGUCGGGAGUGAACCCAGGGCUUAACUCUGGGCUUGCUUUCGAUACGGGCAGACUAGAGGUAUGCAGGGGAGAACGGAAUUCCUGGUGUAGCGGUGAAAUGCGCAGAUAUCAGGAGGAACACCGGUGGCGAAGGCGGUUCUCUGGGCAUUACCUGACGCUGAGGAGCGAAAGUGUGGGGAGCGAACAGGAUU
rnacentral:rRNA from 1 species